rnacentral:rRNA from 1 species
UACGUAGGGGGCAAGCGUUGUCCGGAAUCAUUGGGCGUAAAUCGCGCGUAGGCGGCCCGGUAAGUCCGUUGUGAAAGUCAAAGGCUCAACCUUUGAACGCCGAUGGAUACUGCCGGGCUAGAGUCCGGAAGAGGCGAGUGGAAUUCCUGGUGUAGCGGUGGAAUGCGCAGAUAUCAGGAGGAACACCAAUAGCGAAGGCAGCUCGCUGGGACGGUACUGACGCUGAGGCGCGAAAGCCAGGGGAGCGAACGGG